AAUUUACAAUUUUCCCAUUCCGCAGUGUUUCUAAAGCCCAUUUGUAAAACCCGUUCAUGUUCAUUUCCAAAGCAAGAACCACAGCACAACAUAGAAAUAUAGGACUAGCCCUACACACCACUACCACCGUCGUUCUCGAUCACUUGAACCACAACAACCACCAUAGUCACCACCUUCAUACCAGAGCCGCUGCCGUCAAUCCAACCACCUCCCAAUCGCAACUAGAAACUUAACUGGAACCACCACAAAUCCACUCAAAUCACGGCCACUGCCAUCACCCAUAGCCAAUCAAACCACCACCGAACCCACGGAUGAGGAGAGAGAUAAAAGGAGAGCGUGGCCUUGGACUCGAUGAACUCGGACAUGGACUCGAGAUUCGACUGACGAGUGAAUUCGUAAUCAGACAAUGAGGUUGGGACUGCCGAACAGGGUAAACUUUUGAAUUUCAAAUUCUCUUCCCUCUAAAGAAAGUCUCAUGUGAAUAGAAAGCCCACCAAGUGUUUGCAAAAUGCCCGUGAGAGCCUCCGUAGCCAAGGCAGCACAACAGAGCACAACUCUCCGAAGGUCUCCUAGAUUUCUCCACCACCAGAAAACUCAAGAACCAGAGCUGUCCACCGCCACUCUCCCGAAAUCUCAGAGACUUGUCUGCCUGGAAAAGAGCGCUGCGGAGUCUGAAAACCCGAGAACCCCCAAAUCCACAGCCAGAAGCAACCGUGUCGUACGUUCAUUGAGUCUCCCACUUAGCUCUAAGAAUUCGAGUGAAUCUCACGAUGGGCCGAGAAGAUCUCCGAGAUUGAACAAUGGGGUUGAGGCGUUUCAGAGGCUUAGACGUUCUUCAAGGAUUUUGAACAAGCAGCUCGUCCUUGUUGAUGAAGGUAAGGGUCCCUCAAAACAAAUAUCGAAGAAAUUGGGCAAAUUGGAAAAUGGGUCGGGUAAUUGCGGAAAUUUGAGUUCUGGGUCAGCAAAAUGUCGAAGAAAAUCUGUCAGGUUCUGUAUUGAGCAAUCUAUUGUGAAUCAAUGCACUGAUAAGGCAACUGGGUCUAGAUCUAAGAGUGGAAAAAAUAGGUCAUUGAAGAAAGAGGAGUUCUCAAGUGUUGGAAAAGAUGGAGCUUGUAUUGAUUCAUCUGAAAGAGUUUCGAAAGAGUGCAAAAUGCAAGAGAUAGAUGGUGUAAAUAAAGAAGUGGGGGUUAGGAGGAAGAGAAAGAGGGAGGAGGAAAAUGGAAAGAGGGAGGAAGAAGGUGUUGGGGUUGUUCAAGGGUGGACAAAGGAACAAGAAUUCGCAUUGCAGAGAGCUUAUUUAAUAGCAAAGCCAACACCCUACUUCUGGAAGAAGGUUUCCAAACUGGUGCCUGGGAAAUCUGCACAGGAGUGCUUUGAUAGAGUCCAUUCUGAGCAUAGAACUCCACCUCAACCUCAUACCCGGUCGAGGGCAAGCACAUUAACAAAUUCAUCCCCCCUUGGACAGUUUUCACUCUCUGCAAGUAAACUGCUUAAACCCAGUGAGCCAAAGUCUAAAAGGCAAGAAUGCAGUAAGCAGAGGAGGCAUGUUGCCCAGAAAACAGUCCGACAAUUAUUACAAAAACAUAAUCAAGUGUACCAAGAUUAUGAGGGAGAUCUAUUUUGGGUACUCGAGCCCAGUCUAGGUUCACCUAGUGAGAGUCAUGCGAGUGUUAUACCUUCUACCCCAAAAAACUUACAGGAAAAGAAGAAAAUUCUUCAGAAUCGCAGUCAAAGAUCUUCUUCAGGUCAUAAGAAGCGGCUGUUGAGAUUUAGUAGCUCAUGUGGUAAACCUCUCGUUAGCCCCCGGGUAUUGAAGCAAGUCAGAAACAAGGUCCGGCAUGAGAAAUAUAUAGACCAAUUACAUACCAGGGAAGCGAAGAGAAAAGCAGCAUCUACGCGCACUCAGCAAUCCACUUCUGGAAUUGGUGAAGUGGAUGCGGUGAGAACUGCAAAAAUUGCCCUGGUUUCUGAUGCAAGAGAUGCUAUCAAUAAACUCCAACAUCUGCAGGCCAAUGUCACCGGCGACUCUUCUGAUUUCGACGAUGGUGGCAUUAUAAGUGAUGACGAGGAGGGUGAAGAUGAUACUUAGAACUUUAGCUAAACACAUAUCUUAGAAGUAACAAAAUGGAAGACACUGAUGGCGAAAUUUCAACCUGUGAAUUCGAAUCGCAUUCAAAACAAAGCUUGUCGAGAGAGCGUCGCCUUUAACAUAACACUCAUACCGACGAAACAAACCUUGAUUAUCAUUGGAAGUAAGGGAUUGCGUCCAAUUAAGCAAUCGAAGAGACGUCAAACGGAUCCCGGCACCCAAAAUCCAAGCAAAUGAUUGGAAUCGUUCGCUCAUUUAUCAAACGUGUGCCCUCCUCAUCUCGUCACAACAUUGUGUCUGGUGAAAGGAAAAAACAUCAAAUGUUUUGGCACUAAGUCUUGUGCAUGAUGGGAAAAGAAUAUUUGAUGACAUCCUAUGAGCAAGAUAUGGUUUUUUUUUGUGUUGGUCAAUGGAAUUCUUCAGGUUGCUGUCAUGGUUUCUGUGUAGUUUUAUCGUUGCUGGCACUUUAGACAUU